rnacentral:rRNA from 1 species
AUUGAACGCUGGCGGCAUGCCUUACACAUGCAAGUCGAACGGUAACGCGGGGCAACCUGGCGACGAGUGGCGAACGGGUGAGUAAUGCAUCGGAACGUGCCCAGUAGUGGGGGAUAGCCCGGCGAAAGCCGGAUUAAUACCGCAUACGACCUACGGGUGAAAGGGGGGGAUCGCAAGACCUCUCGCUAUUGGAGCGGCCGAUGUCAGAUUAGGUAGUUGGUGGGGUAAAGGCCUACCAAGCCGACGAUCUGUAGCUGGUCUGAGAGGACGACCGGCCACACUGGGACUGAGACACGGCCCAGACUCCUACGGGAGGCAGCAGUGGGGAAUUUUGAACAAUGGGCGCAAGCCUGAUCCAGCCAUGCCGCGUGCGGGAAGAAGGCCUUCGGGUUGUAAACCGCUUUUGUCAGGGAAGAAAUCUUUUGAGUUAAUACCUCGGAAGGAUGACGGUACCUGAAGAAUAAGCACCGGCUAACUAUGUGCCAGCAGCCGCCGCAGUAA